GUCCUGCAGCCCGCUGGCUGGGUGCUCUCCACAGGACCCCCCGCCCCCGGCCCCCUGCUGUUCCCAUGAUGCCUCAGUGACUCCUACUAUAUGAUACUAAUCAUACUCUGCUUUUAUAACACAAGGUCUGCUCUGUUUUCAACUACUAAUGUCUUGAGGCAACACCUUUUUUCUACACUACAAUGUUUAAACCCUUCCCGUCUCUCUUGGUUCUGCCAAUAGUCACUUUGUGUGUGUUUGUGCGUGCGUGCGUGUGUGCGUGCACGUGUGUCUGUGUGUGUGAGUGAGUGAGUGAAAAAGCGGAAGGCUUGGAUUGCUGACACUACACAGAUAAAAGCCCACAGGACGUGCACACAAACAAAACGCACAAAAGGCUUUUAAUUUGAAAGAUUUGUAUCCACUCGUUCCUCCGCCUCCUGUAGACGUGGACACGGCAGUCUGUCUGUAUGACUUAACCAGACAAUGAACUACAUUCCAAAGAGUGUGUGUGUGUGUGUGUGUGUGUGUGUGUGUGUGUGGUCAUUUACACAGAAUGUUUUCUCCGUGUUUGAGUAGCUACCAGCGCUCAAACCAAUAGCUUUAAUUUCAGCCUCAUUGCCAAGACACCCAAGUGACAUAAUGCUGUUUAGUUUGAGUCCUUAUUUGGGCCGCUGCCCCUGCCGCGACCUCUGACCCCUCAGUGCACACUAACGAGUGGGCGUGUCUCCUCUGAGGAGGACCUCGUUAGCCACCAGGAGGAGGCCCCAGGGGCGAGGAAGAGCGUUGGUUUGAGAUGUUCAGGUUCGAUACCCAUCGCAGACCGCGGUCUUCAGCUUUCUGUUUAACUGAGAUCUGAGUGUUUCACUACGAGCGUCUGAGUCAUGACUCUAACAACGUGUGUGUGUGUGUGUGUGUGUGUGUGUGUGUGUGUGUGUGUGUCUCUAACUAGCCUACAGAUCUUUUAUAUAAUCACAGUUGAACCACCUCAAUGGGUUCCUCAGAAGAUGUUGAUUGUUGACACAUGUCCUACCAGUCAGCCUGUGGUGAUCCCCCCGUAGACGCCACUGGUCGUACUGGUCGUACUGGUCCUCCAGGGUCGGGGGAGCUGGUACCUCCAGCGUCCUCCAGGCCACCGGCUGGAUGCUGGUCUGUGGGUCCCAGCCAGCACACGCCUUUUAUUUAUUCAGGGUUUUGGAGAAGCUUGUUGCUCCAGGUGGUCCCUGAGGGCCCGGUCCAGGGCCCCGCCGUGAGGGCCCAGUCAAGGGGCCAGGGCCGGGUCCAGGGCCGGGUCCGGGUCCAGGGCCGGGUCCGGGUCCAGGGCCUGGUCCAGGGCCGGGUCCAGGGCCUGGUCCAGGGCCGGGUCCAGGCCGGGUCCAGGGCCUGGUCCGGGGCCGGGUCCAGGGCCUGGUCCAGGGCCGGGUCCAGGUCCGGCUCCGUGUCUGGGUCCAGGGCCUGGUCCAGGGCCGGGUCCAGGGCCGGGUCCAGGGCCUGGUCCGGGGCCGGGUCCGGGGCCUGGUCCGGGGCCGGGUCCGGGGCCGGGUCCAGACUUCUCGUGUCUGUGGAGGCAAGGCCGAGUGGAGCUGAGGAGGAAAGGCUGGGGGUCGUAGUGGAUCCUCCUUCCUGUGGUUGAAGUUGUAGUGUGGCGCUGUGACCUGAGGGGGCGCUGUCCCCUGAGACCAGGGGUCUCCUGUUGGACUCAGGGAGGGGGGGCCGGCUUAUAGUCCACUGACGGUGACUGUUAUCAUCCUGAUCGCUCAGCGUUCCUCUGGUGAGGUUCGUUGCUCCGAUUCAAUGUUCACGGAAUGGCUCGCAGGCUAGGUGGCUCGCAGGCUAGGUGUAACGCAGGCUAGGUGUAACGCAGGCUAGGUGGCUCGCAGGCUAGGUGGCUCGCAGGCUAGGUGGCUCGCAGGCUAGGUGUAAUGCAGGCUAGGUGUCACGCAGGCUAGGUGGCUUGCAGGCUAGGUGGCUUGCAGGCUAGGUGGCUCGCAGGCUAGGUGGCUCGCAGGCUAGGUGGCUCGCAGGCUAGGUGGCUCGCAGGCUAGGUGUAAUGCAGGCUAGGUGCCUCACAGGCUAGGUGGCUAACAGGCUAACCCAGUUGGUGAUGUUCUGGGGCCGCUAGCUCGCAGCGCUAAUAGGCUAACCCAGUUGGGGAUGUUCUGGGGCCGCUAGCUCGCAGCGUUAACAGGCUAACCCAGUAGGGGGUGUUGUGGGGGCGCUAGCUCCCAGCGCUACCACGCUAGGCGGCUAACCCAGUAGGGGGUGUUGUGGGGCCGCUAGCUCUCAGCGCUACCAGGCUAGGCGGCUAACAGGCUAACCCAGCAGGGGGUGUUGUGGGGGAGCUAGCUCUCAGCGCUACCAGGCUAGGCAGCUAAUAGGCUUACCCAGUAGGGGGUGUUGUGGGGCUGCUAGCUCUCAGCGCUACCGGGCUACAUGCUACCCACCUGGAGACUGGAGGGGUUGUAGAGUUCGUUGAGUUCAUUAAAACAAUGCUGGUUAAAUCGUGUGUUUCCCCCCUAGUCACUAUAGAGAUGCUAUCUGUACAUUUGGAGUUAUUUCCAAUUUCAAAACACUCAAAGUGGUUUAUGACUCAUUAAAAAAAGGACAAAAAAAGUCGACGUGCGGGAGGAGAGGGUCACAGCGAUGUGAAGGUCUGUCAGUUUCAUGUUUUACCUGUCGCAUCUUUUUGGACUGGAUAUGAUAAUUAAGAUGUAAGAAUUUUGUAGUAUCAUAUCAAGUGAAUCAUUCUUUGCUAGGCAUAGAGACUGCUUGUGAUUGACAGCUAUGUAUACCUUGUAAAAUAGUAAAGAAAAAAAGGAAAAAAACUAAAAUAGAAUUUGUAAAAAUGAAAAAUCCAGAAAAAAAAAGAAUCAGUAAUCAGUCAGAGGCCAAGGUAAAGGACUCGUUUCUUUGUGUUUUUUAAUUUUAUUUUUUUAAUAGCAACUUAUCACUGUGUGAUAUUUUGUACAUCAUAUUACGCUGUAUUCAAACUGUUUCCUCAAUCAACAGGCCAUAGGAGACCUGCCUUUUUAUUUAGUUUUAUUAUAUAUAUUUUUGAAUUGCAUUCUGGCUUGUAUCUAAUAACAUGUCCCUGUUUCUUUGUUUACGGGUCCCUAUGUACGUUAUUGAGCAAAAAAUAAAGAUUUUGUACAGUGAAAAGAGAGUCGUGGUCUGUCAACCUUUAUCUAUGUGUCCAACAAACGCCCCUUGGCAGUCAAGCCUUUAAGAUAGGAAUUCAGGUCAUUUCAACGCAUGGGCAUUUAUGCAAUUACACAUUGUUGUGACUUUAAUUGUUUCACACAAAUUCACAUUAAAAACAUAAUUUUUCAUGUGAAACCAGU
ensembl:lncRNA